CUUCACAAAGUCUACGAUGACGCAAGAUUUUGAGUUUUGAAGAGAUGGAUACAUCUGUGAUCC
rnacentral:tRNA from 1 species